CACACCUCAAGCUAUGCUUGGUGUUGGGCCGUACGUCCCCCCGUUCCGGCGGGACGCGCCCGAAAGCGAUGGGCGACGGCGCCUGGCUUCGAGCGUAAUAAGGAGGUCUUCGACAACCCUUCGCUUUGGAAGUCCAGGUUACGGCAGCCUUUAAAACCACUUCUCCACG
rnacentral:misc_RNA from 1 species